rnacentral:pre_miRNA from 1 species
AGUGGGAUAACUGGGUCAAAUGGUGGUUCCAUUCCAACUUUUCUAAGGAAUCUCCAUACUGCUUGGUAGAGUAGUUGUACCAAUUUGCAGCCUCACCAGCAAU